AGUGUAGAAGAUGUCGUAGACGAUGUCGUACAAACAACACUUUAUGACACCUUUACCGUGACCAUUUCUGGUUUACCAAACAUAGAAACCACGCCAACUACGACAUCCACUACGCAGACUACAACGGCGACCUCGACUACCACGGCAGUAAUCGAAGCCACGUCAACUACGACAUCCGCUACGCAGACUUCUGCGUCAGCUUCGCCUCCCAUGGCAAAAAGCA